rnacentral:rRNA from 1 species
AGAGUUUGAUCCUGGCUCAGAACGAACGCUGGCGGCGUGGCUAACCCAUGCAAGUCGCGCGCGAACGUAUCCUUCGGGGUGCUAUUAGCGCGGCGGAAGGGUGAGUAACACAUGGGUAACGUACCCCGGGCACGAAGAUAGUUCGCCGAAAGGCGGAGUAAUACUCGAUAAGACCACGUGGAGGCAUCUUCACGCGGCCAAAGGUAGGGACCCCUUCGGGGGCCUGCCGGCCCGGGAUCGGCCCAUGUCCCAUCAGCUUGUUGGUAGGGUAACGGCCUACCAAGGCUGCGACGGGUAGCCGGACUGAGAGGUCGACCGGCCACAUUGGGACUGAGACACUGCCCAGACUCCUACGGGAGGCUGCAGGGACGAAUAUUGGGCAAUGGGCGCAAGCCUGACCCAGCGACGCCGCGUGUGGGAAGAAGCCUUUCGGGGUGUAAACCACCGUCAGGGGUUACCAAGCAAUUUCGCUUAAUAGGCGGAUGCGUUGAGGAGCCCCAGAGGAAGCCACGGCUAACUCCGUGCCAGCAGCCGCGGUAAGACGGAGGUGGCAAGCGUUGUUCGGAUUCACUGGGCUUAAAGAGCACGUAGGCGGCUGAUCAAGCGCUUUGUGAAAUCCCUCGGCUCAACCGAAGAAUUGCGUGGCGAACUGGUCGACUUGAAGGCAGGUAAGGGCCGUGUGGAACUCUUGGUGGGAGCGGUGAAANNNNNNNNNNNNNNNNNNNNNNNNNNNNNNNNNGCGACCACGCUGGGCCUGACCUUGACGCUGAGGUGCGAAAGCUAGGGUAGCGNACGGGAUUAGAUACCCCGGUAGUCCUAGCCGUUAAACGAUGUCCACUAGGCUGGGGGUCUUUUGACGGACUCCCCGGCCGAAGUUAAAGCGUUAAGUGGACCGCCUGGGGAGUACGGUCGCAAGGCUAAAACUCAAAGGAAUUGACGGGGGCUCACACAAGCGGUGGAGCAUGCUGCUCAAUUCGAUGCAACGCGAAGAACCUUAUCCUGGGCUUGAAAAGCACGGAUGCGGCGCCCGAAAGGGAUGUCCGCUGCCCUUCGGGGUGAAACGUGUACAGGUGCUGCAUGGCUGUCGUCAGCUCGUGUCGUGAGAUGUUGGGUUAAGUCCCGUAACGAGCGAAACCCUUGUCGCUAGUUGCCAGCGGGUCAUGCCGGGGACUCUAGCGAGACUGCCGGUGUCAAACCGGAGGAAGGUGGGGAUGACGUCAAGUCCUCAUGGCCUUUAUGCCCAGGGCUGCAAGCGUGCUACAAUGGCCGGGACAAACCGAUGCGAGACCGCGAGGUGGAGCAAAUCGGAAAAACCCGGCCCCAGUUCGGAUUGCAGUCUGCAACUCGACUGCAUGAAGUCGGAAUCGCUAGUAAUCGCGGAUCAGCGAUGCCGCGGUGAAUAUGUUCCUGAGCCUUGUACACACCGCCCGUCAAGUCAUGGGAGCUGGUAGCACCUGAAGUCGCUCCGAUACAGGGGUGCCGAAGGUGAGAUCGGUGACUGGGACUAAGUCGUAACAAGGUA